rnacentral:rRNA from 1 species
CAGCAGCCGCGGUAAUACGGAGGGAGCUAGCGUUGUUCGGAAUUACUGGGCGUAAAGCGCACGUAGGCGGCUAUUCAAGUCAGAGGUGAAAGCCCGGGGCUCAACCCCGGAACUGCCUUUGAAACUAGAUGACUGGAAUCUUGGAGAGGUCAGUGGAAUUCCGAGUGUAGAGGUGAAAUUCGUAGAUAUUCGGAAGAACACCAGUGGCGAAGGCGACUGACUGGACAAGUAUUGACGCUGAGGUGCGAAAGCGUGGGGAGCAAACAGGAUUAGAUACCCGAGUAGUCCCUGUCUCUUAUAC